rnacentral:lncRNA from 1 species
GCUGACAGGUUGGGACACCCUUUGCAGCAAGAGGGUUUGGAAGAUCGUGCUGAGGAAGAAGGGCAAAUUGGAAGUAAGGUGUGGACUCGGAUUAGUCCGGGUUCUCCUCCUCUUUGGAGCAUCACCUGCGGCUCACAUCCCCAGAUCUCAGCCAGCAGGUCUUGGGGCUUCGGUUUCGAUUUCGUAUGAAGCUUGGAGGACUUCUGUCCUUGGAAGCUCAGCCCAUUAACUCCUCGGCCAAGCGGUAAAGGAGGCGAGAGUACCAAUGCAUGCCAGUCGGCUGGACUGCACCCCCAGGGAGCAGAGCCCCGAGCGCGUGCAGCAGCCGCAAAGGGGCGAAGGCGCGGUGGGCCCACUGGUGACUCUCUAGAACCGCGUAGCAGGAGGCGAGGACGUCGUUGACCAGCAGCGUCCCGUGCGCAGUGAGCGGUGCGAACACGCCCACGGCUUCCUCGCGCGCCACGCGGGCUACGCGCGCCGGCUGGAGCGCGUCCCCGCCGGGAGCCAGCACCGAGUCGCCAGCACGUAAGCGGCGCGCGAACACCGGUGCAAAGUCACCUGGAGCAGGCGCUGGCCCGCGAGCAGCGAACACCAGAUGCCAGGGUGUGAGCAACAGUUUGCGCGGAGGCCGCUCGGUCUCCACAGCCACGAACGAGGCGCGGCGCUGCAGAUCCCGGUCCAGGAAGAGCAGCACUGGCGUGGGUACCACUCGGCCCGCUGCAUCAGCGGCCAGUACCCAGUCACCACGAUGUAGUUCCCUCAGCCCCUUCCGUUCGCCGCUCCGCAAGCGCACCGUGGCAUUUCCCGGAAAGCAGCCUCCGGCUCGGACCGCCAGUGAGUUAUCUGCAAGCCACAAUUAUAAAAAGGAUUAAGUCCGGAUCAGCCAGUGCAAGUACAGUCUCGAAGAUGUGGGUCAAGCCCAACGUAGACCUCACCAGCCCCGGGACAGCUUAAUUUCCCAGGGAUCUAGCCCCACCAGGAGUGGGAAUGGAAGAGUGUUUUUACAAGCAUUAGCCUGGUUGGUCUCCCUUAGGGUAGCAAGAAAGCUAUGGUAGAGCCCCCUUUGGAUGGACCAUCAUCUGGCCUCUACUGUACCAGCUUUGACCGAUACGUGGAUGUGGUUGCGGGACUCGUAGUAGACCCAGUCGAAUCCGGCUUCCACAGCUAGGCGCGCCAACAAACCAUACUUAUUACGGUCACGGUCAGACGUGGUGAUGUCCAAGGCACGGCCUUCGUAGUGGAGUGAAUCCUGUGCGUGGUGGCCGUCCUCGUCCCAGCCUUCAGUCACACGUAGGCGUACUCCGGGCCACAUGUUCAUCACCGCGAUGGCUAGAGCGUUCACCCGCUCUUUGCAACGCUAAUGGGGGGAAUAAAGAAGCGGGUUUCCCACUUCCCACCAUCACCAGGCAAGGUGAAGAAGGGCGAGGCAGAAGGAACAUUAAAGCAUCUUUAUUCUCU